rnacentral:lncRNA from 1 species
CAGGAGAAAUUAUGCUGUGUUGGUAUUUCAGUGGCCUCUUAAUAGUUCAUGGAAUUGAGUUAACUGUUUUGCUAUUUUUGCACAUGCAGAUUUUGUCUGUGCUUUUGUGGUUGCAAGGUUGCAAUAGGUAUCCUUAUGCCUAAAUUUGUGUUUACAUCUUAGACUAGUUUCUUGGAAUACAAUUCUAGAAGUCGAGUUUCUGGAACAAACUAUGAACAGUUAAGGUUCUUGACACCUGCUGCUAAACUGUCUCAAAGGUUCCUCUUAAGAGGAGAUUUAAAAGAUGCCUUGGCUGGGCGUGGUGGCUCAUGCCAGGAAUUCCAGCACUUUGGGAGACCAAGGUGGGCAGAUCACUUGAGGUCAGAACUUUGAGACCAGCCUGGCCAACAUGGUGAAACCCUGUCUCUACUAAAAAGAUAAACAAAUUAGCUGAGCGUGGUGGUAUAGGUCUGAAACUCAGCUGCUCGGGAGACUGAGACAUGAGAUUCACUUGAACCUGGGAGGCAGAAUUUGCAGUGAGCAGAGAUCACCCCACUAUACUCCCGCCUCGGUGACAGAGUAAGACUCUAUUAAAAAAAAAGGAAUAAUAAAGAAGUAAAUAAAGAAAUGAUGGCUUAUUUAGUAAUAGUUAUGACUUUGUAAAGCUUUUAAAUCUGCUUUACACAGAGUCUAGCUUUUAAAUAACAUAUAGUGUAUAAAAGGUAGGAGCCUCAUGAAUGGAAUGUGUGGGCUUUUUCUCUCUCCCCAUAGGGUAGAUAUAUUCUGUUUCUUGUCCCCCAUUGAAUCAAGAAUAAUUUAACUUUUGCAUAAGAAAGUGCUGAAGAAAAAUAGGUUGAAUAAGCUAACAUUUUUCUUCUUUUUGCAGGAUAUAGAAGACUGAGAUCACUGUGAGAUGAAAGAAGAGCCUAUUAGUGGGAAAAAGUUGGAGGAUGAAGGAAUUGAAAAAGAAAAUUUGGCAAUAUUAGAGAAAAUUAGGAAGACUGAAAGGCAAGACCAUUUGAAUGUGGUUGACCCUGAUAGUCCUUUGCACAGUGAUCUUCAGAUCUUAAAAGAAAAAGAAGGCAUAGGAGAUAUUUUGCUGAACUUACCUUUUAAGGUAUGUAUUGGGUGGAGGAGCAUUAUGUAUGGAACUUCUCACAAAACAGGGCUGAAGCAGUGCCUACUCAAUAGAACCGGUCAUCGUGCAAAGAAAUGCCACCUGACUCAAAGGCAAAGCCAGAGUGCAGCUUGGCGCAAAGAAGGUAUGUUAUUAAGAAUUUUAAAGAAACCAUAA